AACGCUGGCGGCGUGCUUACACAUGCAAGUCGAACGGAAAGGCCUGCUUUUGUGGGGUGCUCGAGUGGCGAACGGGUGAGUAACACGUGAGUAACCUGCCCUUGACUUUGGGAUAACUUCAGGAAACUGGGGCUAAUACCGGAUAGGAGCUCCUGCUGCAUGGUGGGGGUUGGAAAGUUUCGGCGGUUGGGGAUGGACUCGCGGCUUAUCAGCUUGUUGGUGGGGUAGUGGCUUACCAAGGCUUUGACGGGUAGCCGGCCUGAGAGGGUGACCGGCCACAUUGGGACUGAGAUACGGCCCAGACUCCUACGGGAGGCAGCAGUGGGGAAUAUUGCACAAUGGGCGGAAGCCUGAUGCAGCAACGCCGCGUGCGGGAUGACGGCCUUCGGGUUGUAAACCGCUUUCGCCUGUGACGAAGCGUGAGUGACGGUAAUGGGUAAAGAAGCACCGGCUAACUACGUGCCAGCAGCCGCGGUGAUACGUAGGGUGCGAGCGUUGUCCGGAUUUAUUGGGCGUAAAGGGCUCGUAGGUGGUUGAUCGCGUCGGAAGUGUAAUCUUGGGGCUUAACCCUGAGCGUGCUUUCGAUACGGGUUGACUUGAGGAAGGUAGGGGAGAAUGGAAUUCCUGGUGGAGCGGUGGAAUGCGCAGAUAUCAGGAGGAACACCAGUGGCGAAGGCGGUUCUCUGGGCCUUUCCUGACGCUGAGGAGCGAAAGCGUGGGGAGCGAACAGGCUUAGAUACCCCUGGUUAGUCCACGCUGUAAAACGGUGGGUACUAGUGUGGGGUCCAUUCCACGGUUCGUGCCCGUACUAACGCUUUAGUACCCGCCUGGGAGUACGGCGCAGGCUAAAACUCAAGGAUUGACGGCCCCCACGGGACUUCGGAUUAUCCAUCCACCGUUAACCUUCUU
rnacentral:rRNA from 1 species